rnacentral:miRNA from 1 species
AGCUGUUGGGCUCAUAUGUUCAUA